UUGCAUUCUAAUUAUUGGAUGAAAUCUUAAAUAAUUGUUGAUGCAUUUGCAUCACUUGGAUUGAAGGUUCAAAAAAGGUACAUUUUCAAGGUAUGACUUCUUUAGGUAUAUAUUUUAAAUUUUUGAGAAGAUAAUCAUAUUGACAGAUUAAUAAGGAUAUAUUAGUAAGUGCAUCUUUCCAUAGAGAAUGUAUAUUGAAAGUUUCAAGGAGGCUGAAAAUAAUGAUAUAUGAAUCAUUACAAUUCCAUUAGUCAAAUUGUGUUUACAAAUCAUUACAUUUCCAGGUGUUUAAGGAAAUUAUGAUCUAUGUUCAAUUGAGAUGAAGAUUACAAAUAAAUUGAGCAGCCCAUUUUAAAAAGAUGGCCAACACAUAUUUGCUUUUGAUAAUAAUCUCUCCCCCUUUGCAGGUUUAAUUUUUUUGUUUGUUGAGAAACCUCCCCCUUUGCAGUUGGUUGGCCAAUCAUUAAUUCUAUUAAUGAUUGGAUUUAGAAUGUCAGUGCAUUUGCAUCAAGUAGAAUUCAUGUAUGUAAUUUCAGCCAAUCUGAUGUAGAUAUGGGAAUAAGGAAAAAGUAUACCACUAAUGCUUGGGAAGCCUAAGUAUACCACUGAUAAUAUAGCAGUCCUAUAGGUAAGUGCUCUGCUUAUAAUCCUUUUGGAGAUUACUUUAUGGGGAUAUUUAGAUUUUCUUAAGAAUUUUGAUUCAUGGGAACUGUUUUUGUUAAGGUGGUGAUG